GAAGCUGUGAGAUGCACCACGAAGACACUUAUUAUAGCACAGCUAAAGAGCAGGAAGUGCAGCUCCAAAACCUUCACAUGAACACAGAGUCAGCACAGGACUCCAAGACCAAGUCCAGGACACCAGAGCCCACCCCACUACAGCAGCAUCAUGAGCAAACGCAAGACCUUCAAGUGGUUCAGCCUCUCCAAUCUCUCCUUUCGACGAUCGUCGUUGGUCAAAUCUGAGAAAUCCCAAGCAAAGGAUGAGCCCACCCUCUCAGAGACAUCAGUUGAUGACAUGUACAUGAGGGAGCGUACCCACAGCUAUGUUCGCUCAAAUGAGAAUUAUACCCACGUAGGCACCAUGCCACGCCUGUUCACCAAACGGAAAGACAAGAGCAAUAAAAGCAGCAAGAACACACCUGGUGAGUCUGGAUCUGGGGUGGGCAUGAGGAGGAUGGGGGACAAUGUUCCCAGUUCCCCUCUGCUCAGUGUAUUGUCCAGCCAGGCUACUCCAUCUCUGCAGGAGACCACUGUUGGUGACGCUGGCCUCCAAAAUCCUGGAGGUGGUUCAGAUGGUGCAUGCAGUGGAAGAGUUGUGGCGACCCCUACGGAGAUGGAGCCCACAUGCAGAAGUCCAUACAGGCCUUGUCUGAGUGCAGCAGCAAUCCCAUGUGGUCCAAACAAAAACUCAGAUUCAGGGAUUCUAGGAAUUCCAGAUGCCUUUACAAAAGACAAGGCACCACCACCUAAAACCCCGCACCAAAUGGUGCUGCCCAUGAAGAGGGUCCAUCAGCCUGACAGGAGGCUGGGGCAGAAAACAGAAGAAUCCCAGGCUAAUCCUCAAAAAAUGAGUCUGGAGAUAGAGCCAGGGAACAGCCACAUGGAGUGUCCAGAGGUCCAAGGAGAAUAUGUGCACGGGGUGGGUGGGGUCCGCCGGCAGAGCACGGGAGCAUCCCUCCCUCCCUCGGCCCUCCCCCACCCGCUCCGCUCAUCGGAGAGCGAUGAGGUAAUCCUGCCGGCUCGGCGAGAGCGAGCCAGAUCUGCCGGCGCCGGGCUGGGAUGA
ensembl:lncRNA